rnacentral:rRNA from 1 species
AUUGAACGCUGGCGGCAUGCUUUACACAUGCAAGUCGAACGGUAACAGGCCGCAAGGUGCUGACGAGUGGCGAACGGGUGAGUAAUGCAUCGGAACGUGCCCAGUCGUGGGGGAUAACUACUCGAAAGAGUAGCUAAUACCGCAUACGAUCUAUGGAUGAAAGCGGGGGACCGUAAGGCCUCGCGCGAUUGGAGCGGCCGAUGUCAGAUUAGGUAGUUGGUGGGGUAAAGGCUCACCAAGCCAACGAUCUGUAACUGGUCUGAGAGGACAACCAGCCACACUGGGACUGAGACACGGCCCAGACUCCUACGGGAGGCAGCAGUGGGGAAUUUUGGACAAUGGGCGCAAGCCUGAUCCAGCAAUGCCGCGUGCAGGAAGAAGGCCUUCGGGUUGUAAAAUGCUUUUGUACGGAACGAAACGGCUCUGGUUAAUACCCGGGGCUAAUGACGGUACCGUAAGAAUAAGCACCGGCUAACUACGUG